rnacentral:lncRNA from 1 species
AUGCUGUCUUUGCAGGCAACAGUCAGCACUUUCUCUGAAUACCCAGUCCACAUCCAGGAAAAACUGGCUCAGAUGGGUUGGUAUGAAUGUUUCGGGCCUGGAAGAGUGGUCAUCAGGCAAGGCCAUAUCCCGCAGAAUUUCUAUUUGAUUCUCUCAGGCACAGCUGUGGUCACCAAGGUGGCUGUCAACAAACAGACAGGAGAGCUUUAUGCCAACACGGUUGCCUUUCUGAAGAAAGGGAAAUAUUUUGGGGAUGUUGCCAUCUUGACGGGCGCUAGGAGAAACGCCACAGUUAUCUGUCAUGAUACUGUUUCCCUGUUGGCUGUUUCUAGACAGGCCAGGAACAGUCAUUACAAAGGAUUCAAAGGCAUCAUCCAAAAUUUAUGUGAUCAAAACAGUAAGUAAAUCCAUAAUAUUUACCGCUAGGGAGGUAUC